AUUGAACGCUGGCGGCAGGCUUAACACAUGCAAGUCGAGCGGAGUGAUGGUGCUUGCACUAUCACUUAGCGGCGGACGGGUGAGUAAUGCUUAGGAAUCUGCCAUUUAGUGGGGGACAACAUUCCGAAAGGAAUGCUAAUACCGCAUACGUCCUACGGGAGAAAGCAGGGGAUCUUCGGACCUUGCGCUAAAUGAUGAGCCUAAGUCGGAUUAGCUAGUUGGUGGGGUAAAGGCCUACAAAGGCGACGAUCCGUAGCGGGUCUGAGAGGAUGGUCCUCCACACUGGUACUGAGAAACGGCCCAGACUCCGACGGGAUGCAGCAGUGGGGAAGAUUGGACAAUGGGCGGAAGCCUGAUCCAGCCAUGCCACGUGUGUGAAGAAGGCCUUUUGGUUGUAAAGCACUUUAAGCGAGGAGGAGGCUACUAGUACUAAUACUACUGGAUAGUGGACGUUACUCGCAGAAUAAGCACCGGCUAACUCUGUGCCAGCCGCCGCCGUAACAC
rnacentral:rRNA from 1 species